UACGUAGGGUGCGAGCGUUGUCCGGAAUUAUUGGGCGUAAAGAGCUCGUAGGCGGUCUGUCGCGUCUGCUGUGAAAACCCGAGGCUCAACCUCGGACCUGCAGUGGGUACGGGCAGACUAGAGUGCGGUAGGGGAGAAUGGAAUUCCUGGUGUAGCGGUGGAAUGCGCAGAUAUCAGGAGGAACACCGAUGGCGAAGGCAGUUCUCUGGGCCGUAACUGACGCUGAGGAGCGAAAGCGUGGGGAGCGAACAGG
rnacentral:rRNA from 1 species